rnacentral:rRNA from 1 species
UACGGGGGGGGCAAGCGUUGUUCGGAAUUACUGGGCGUAAAGAGCUCGUAGGCGGCUUGUCGCGUCGUCCGUGAAAACCCACAGCUCAACUGUGGGCUUGCGGUCGAUACGGGCAGGCUAGAGUUCGGUAGGGGAGACUGGAAUUCCUGGUGUAGCGGUGAAAUGCGCAGAUAUCAGGAGGAACACCGGUGGCGAAGGCGGGUCUCUGGGCCGAUACUGACGCUGAGGAGCGAAAGCGUGGGGAGCGAACAGG